CAGCUUCCCGGCUGCUUUGUUUACCUAAUCAAGCCUGGGCAAUGGCGGGCUCCCCUCCCCCAGCCUCGCUGCUGCCUUGCAGUUUGAUCUCAGACUGCUGUGCUAGCAAUCAGCGAGACUCCGUGGGCGUAGGACCCUCCGAGCCAGGUGUGGGAUAUAGUCUCGUGGUGCGCCGUUUUUUAAGCCCGUCGGAAAAGCGCAGUAUUCGGGUGGGAGUGACCCGAUUUUCCAGGUGCGUCCGUCACCCCUUUCUUUGACUCGGAAAGGGAACUCCCUGACCCCUUGCGCUUCCCAAGUGAGGCAAUGCCUCGCCCUGCUUCGGCUCGCGCACGGUGCGCGCACCCACUGACCUGCGCCCACUGUCUGGCACUCCCUAGAGAGAUGAACCCGGUACCUCAGAUGGAAAUGCAGAAAUCACCGUCUUCUGCGUCGCUCACGCUGGGAGCUGUAGACCAGAGCUGUUCCUAUUCGGCCAUCUUGGCUCCUUAUUCUCAUUACCUUCUUGAGUUGUGGCUCAGACACUACAACAGAGCUCUGUCACCUCUUUCUAAAAGCUGGGAAAUGGUUAUUGUCAACGCCAGCCCCAUUUUGGAGGCACCUGGUUGCAGGGGACCACAGCUAGGCUGGGUGCGGUGGCUCAGGACUGUAAUUCCAGCUACAUGAGAGGAUUGCCUGAGGCCAGGAGUUUGAGACCAGCCUGAACAACAUAGAUAGACUGGGAGCUCCAUGAGGUCCGAGACAACCUGAAGACGCCCAGCUCAGCAGAGACUGGCUACGGCAAUCACUCAGUAACUAUUUGUUGAAUUGGACAUAAUAGAAGAGCUGAAGAAUUUUAAACAAGUCACCAUCAGUGCAGUGGAUUCCUCAAAGCAAACCUGGAAAUCUCGGCAUGAGUUGGAUUUAAGGCAGUACAUUUUCAGCUCCUGAAAAUUUGAACAGUUUCUCAAGAGAACAACUUGAAACAGAAAGGCAAGGAUGUAGAUGUGGUUGUAGAAGAUGAUGUCUGCGGCCACCAAACUGUCCACUGUGAAGACAAACCAUGCAUGUUUAGUAGGCAGUGGCUCCUCUUCCCUGUGGGGAGUCCCACUGCUUCCCUGGCCUGGGUGUUCUCUGCCGGUAGAUGUUAUUGACAAAAUAAGCAAAGUCCUCUGAUUCUGAGAAUUAGAGUUAAUGAUAGCUCUAGAUUGCCUCUGCCAUGCUAUUUAAAGUCCUGCUUUAUUGUCUGACAUGAGUUCGGCAUCUAUGAGGACUUGUCCAGUGCAAAGUACAAUCUCCACUGAAAGAUAUCACCAGCACAUCUUGUCACUGUGCUGUAGCAAGCUGGGCAGUACAAUGAUGUUGGCAGGAUCCUGUUUAGGUGGAGGAUGGCCACCUGGGCAUCAAGAAUCUUCUACCCUGAUUCCACAUUGACUCCCCAAAGUGGGCUUCAGACAGCUCUUUACUUACGUCUUCUGAUUAAAGCAGCAGACAGGGUCCCAGCUAGAGAAAAGUUCUGGGAGCAGGAGAGGUGUUGGUGGCUUUAAAACCAGGGGUGAAGAUUGAAUUAGGAGGUUAGGCAGGAGUAGGAUCAAAGACUUAGAAAAUGCUUGUUUCCUCCUAUUAUUCUUAUGAGAGCUGAUACGGGGCUUUCAGUUUUGGGGGAGAGCCUUGGAAGAGAAUGAGGGAAUUUAAUCAACUAGCGGGACCUUUCCAACUUACAUUUCCCAGUGUUUGUUGGAUGAUACGUUUGCCUAAUAAGUUAAAGCUUCCAAAAAUAGAAAGGAAAGCUUGGUGACACUAAGCUCUGGCAUGCUGUCAUCUUCUGGCUAGGGGUCUUGUGCUUCUGUUUUUCUAUUUCUGACCAAAGACAUAAAAUGUGUUGUGACCUCUCAGGUAAUGCUGUGGUAUCAUGUCCAAGCAGUAACUAACCAGAGUGGAGUUUUUACAGGUAAAAAAGUAUUGAAUAGCUCAGCAACAGGGAGGACUUAAUGAUAAAUUGCUUUUUCAGAAAAUGACAAGGGGACAGACACUUGCGGUUCUUCCAUUGAGAGCCUUAAGGAAGUUAAGCGAAGCCUCUGCUCACCCCUUCAAGUAACGAUGACCCAUCAGAUCGUGGUCAUAACCAGUAGCAUCUGAGGCACCCCUAAGCUCUCUGGGCCCCAGAUUCCUUGUUAAGUUAAAUGAGGUGACUUCCCAGUUUACCAUUCUAGGGGUUCCUGAGGAGUUAAAAAUGAAGGAGAAAAUGCAACAUGUACCAAGUGAGCAAGAGCUCAAGGCUUAUCUCUGGCACGAAAGUGACCGCUGUCCGUUAGAGAUGUGAUUGCCCUAGAUUUCCUUUAGGAAAUGCAAACAUUGAACUCUGGCCUUCAGGACCCAAGUCCCGGCUUGCAUCUAUUCUAUACACUUUCUGUUAUUUGUUAGGGCUCACAAGGAACAGUUAUUUAUCUUUUAUUUUCUAUUUUUUUUUUAGAGAUGGAGUCUCACUCUGUCUCCCAGGCUGGAGUGCAGUGGUGCCAUCUCAGCUCACUGCAACCUCCACCUCCCGGGUUCAAGCAAUUCUCCUGUCUCAGCCUCCUGAGUAGCUGGGACUACAGGCGUGUGCCAUCAUGCCCGGCUAAUUUUUAGUAUUUUUAGUAGAGGCAGGGUUUCACCAUAUUGGCCAGGCUGGUCUUGAACUCCUG
rnacentral:lncRNA from 1 species